AUGUGUGGAUAUGCUGCGAGGGGGCUUUUUCCCCGAGGCUUCGAGCAGCGUUGCGAGCAGGUUUUCCCGCGAUCCGAUUCGGGGGCGGAUGCAACAGCGAGGGAAGCGAGCGGCGCCAUGAACGGCGUCUUGUUUCCUGCGACGAGCGGCGCCAUGAAAGGCGUCUUGUUUUCUGAGACGAGCGGUGUGUGGGACGGUGCGUUGACUAGCAUCGAGUCGUGGGAGGGGGCUAAAAGACGAUGGCAUGGGAUUCCAAUCGGGCGGUCAGAAGAAACUGAAUCGCAGGGCUGCGGGUUGACCGGCCCAACUGUUGGGCCGGUGCGCCGGCGCCUAGCAUCCCCCAUAAUUAAUUCUCUAAUCCGCAACAACAAGAUUUGUACGUAG
rnacentral:rRNA from 1 species